rnacentral:rRNA from 1 species
CACUAAGACUCCUACGGGAGGCAGCAGUGGGGAAUAUUGCACAAUGGGCGCAAGCCUGAUGCAGCCAUGCCGCGUGUAUGAAGAAGGCCUUCGGGUUGUAAAGUACUUUCAGCAGUGAGGAAGGCGGGUACGUUAAUAGCGUGCUUGUUUGACGUUAGCUGCAGAAGAAGCACCGGCUAACUCCGUGCCAGCAGCCGCGGUAAUACGGAGGGUGCGAGCGUUAAUCGGAAUUACUGGGCGUAAAGCGCAUGCAGGUGGUUUGUUAAGUCAGAUGUGAAAGCCCGGGGCUCAACCUCGGAAUAGCAUUUGAAACUGGCAGACUAGAGUACUGUAGAGGGGGUAGAAUUUCAGGUGUAGCGGUGAAAUGCGUAGAGAUCUGAAGGAAUACCGGUGGCGAAGGCGGCCCCCUGGACAGAUACUGACACUCAGAUGCGAAAGCGUGGGGAGCAAACAGGAUUAGAUACCCUGGUAG